rnacentral:lncRNA from 1 species
AGUGUUUGGGUGAAGACGGAGGCGGGUUCUGGACAGACCUACGCUGUCGGGGAGUGUUUACUUCGCCUCCACUUCUGUUCCUCCCCGCCCUGGUGCUGCUCCAGGUCACAUACUCUUCCUGAGCCGGCUUCAGCCUCUCCGCGCAGAAGUCUCCCGGAGCCAUGGCCUAGUAUUCUUAUGUGAAGUCUACCAAGCUUGUGCUCAAGGGAACCGAGUAAGAAGAAAAAGAGCAAAGAUAAGAAGAGAAAAAGAGAAGAUGAAGAAACCCAGCUUGAUAUGUUGGAAUCUGGUGAACAGUAACAAACUUUGGUGAAAUUUCAGGAACCAUAGCCAUUGAAGUGGAUGAGGGAACCUAUAUACAUGCACUCAACAAUGGUCUUUUUACCCUGGGAGCUCCACACAAAGAAGAAUCGCCCUGAAACCUGGCUAUGGAAAAUAUCUUAGUAUAAAUUCAGAUGAACUUGUUGUUGGCGUUCAGAUGCAAUUGGACCAAGAGAACAAUGGGAACCAGUCUUUCAAAAUGUGAGUGCUGUUAUUGUUUAUAAAAACUUCCUGUCAGUUUAA